GGCGUGAGUCACCAUGCCUGGCCAGUAUUUUAUUUUUAUAUACUCUGGUUAUGUUAGAGAAUAUCCUUCUAGGCUUCAGGGCGUUUGAAUUUAAAUAUUAUUAAGGUAAGGGGUAUUUAUAUUUAUCCAAAGGCCUCUCUGAGAAGGAAUUCUAUACUGGGUUUGACUGUAAUUAAGGUAGCUGCCUUGGAGAAUACUGGUCAUUUUAAUUUUCCACUCUCCAAAUUUCACAGAAGUGUUUCUCAUUGUCAGACUGACCUACAGUCAUACAGGGAAGGGAAUCCAGGCAACAUCAUCCCAGGUUUCUUCCAUAAAGGAAGGAGGAGACUCUAGAAGGUGGUGGUGGUGAUGCCAACAGACAUGAAGUACAGGAUCUUUCAAAUGAGAUUUUGAAGUUCACACACCUUCCAUAAGGCCUACCUUCCCCUCCUCCACUGAGCAUCACGGGGUUGCAUUGUCUGUCCCUGAGCCGCAAGGCCCCUCCUCUCCUGCUGACUGCGAGGCAGUGGGGGUGGGGAGUGGAGUGUGUGUGGUCUUAGAUAGAAAAGAAAGCCUGAAAAGAAACGUAAUGUGCUAAACAACUGAUGUGUUAAACACCUGCCUUCUGAUAUUCUUAAAUGGC
rnacentral:lncRNA from 10 species